AUUGAACGCUGGCGGAAUGCUUUACACAUGCAAGUCGAGCGGCAACGCGGGGGCAACCCUGGCGGCGAGCGGCGAACGGGUGAGUAACAUAUCGGAACGUACCCCGUCGUGGGGGAUGACACAGCGAAAGCUGUGCUAAUACCGCAUACGACCUGAGGGUGAAAGCGGGGGACCGCAAGGCCUCGCGCGAUGGGAGCGGCCGAUAUAGGAUUAGCUAGUUGGUGAGGUAAAGGCUCACCAAGGCGACGAUCCGUAGCUGGUCUGAGAGGACGACCAGCCACACUGGAACUGAGACACGGUCCAGACUCCUACGGGAGGCAGCAGUGGGGAAUUUUGGACAAUGGGGGCAACCCUGAUCCAGCCAUUCCGCGUGAGUGAAGAAGGCCUUCGGGUUGUAAAGCUCUUUCAGCAGGAACGAAACGGUGAGGGUUAAUACCCUUUACUAAUGACGGUACCUGAAGAAGAAGCACCGGCUAACUACGUGCCAGCCGCCGCGGUAACAC
rnacentral:rRNA from 1 species